rnacentral:rRNA from 1 species
NNGCUGCGGCGUGCUUAACACAUGCAAGUCGGACGAUGAACCAGGAGCUUGCUCUUGGGGAUUAGUGGCGAACGGGUGAGUAACACGUGAGUAACCUGCCCUUGACUCUGGGAUAACCUCCGGAAACGGAAGCUAAUACCGGAUACGAACUGCGAAGGCAUCUUCAGCAGUUGGAAAGAACUUCGGUCAAGGAUGGACUCGCGGCCUAUCAGGUAGUUGGUGAGGUAACGGCCCACCAAGCCUACGACGGGUAGCCGGCCUGAGAGGGUGACCGGCCACACUGGGACUGAGACACGGUCCAGACUCCUACGGGAGGCAGCAGUGGGGAAUAUUGCACAAUGGGCGCAAGCCUGAUGCAGCAACGCCGCGUGGGGGAUGACGGCCUUCGGGUUGUAAACCUNUUUUAGUAGGGAAGAAGCGAAAGUGACGGUACCUGCAGAAAAAGCACCGGCUAACUACGUGCCAGCAGCCGCGGUAAUACGUAGGGUGCGAGCGUUGUCCGGAAUUAUUGGGCGUAAAGAGCUCGUAGGCGGUCUGUCGCGUCUGCUGUGNAAACCCGAGGCUCAACCUCGGGCCUGCAGUGGGUACGGGCAGACUAGAGUGCGGUAGGGGAGAAUGGAAUUCCUGGUGUAGCGGUGGAAUGCGCAGAUAUCAGGAGGAACACCGAUGGCGAAGGCAGUUCUCUGGGCCGUAACUGACGCUGAGGAGCGAAAGCGUGGGGAGCGAACAGGAUUUAGAUACCC